rnacentral:rRNA from 1 species
AUUGAACGCUGGCGGCAGGCCUAACACAUGCAAGUCGAACGAGUGGCGGACGGGUGAGUAAUGUCUGGGAAACUGCCCGAUGGAGGGGGAUAACUACUGGAAACGGUAGCUAAUACCGCAUACCAUCGGAUGUGCCCAGAUGGGAUUAGCUAGUAGGUGGGGUAACGGCUCACCUAGGCGACGAUCCCUAGCUGGUCUGAGAGGAUGACCAGCCACACUGGAACUGAGACACGGUCCAGACUCCUACGGUAGGCAGCAGUGGGGAAUAUUGCACAAUGGGCGCAAGCCUGAUGCAGCCAUGCCGCGUGUAUGAAGAAGGCCUUCGGGUUGUAAAGUUCUUUCGGUGGCGAGGCGUUACCCGCAGAAGAAGCACCGGCUAACUCCGUGCCAGCCGCCGCGGUAAUUC